rnacentral:rRNA from 1 species
GAUGAACGCUGGCGGCGUGCCUAAUACAUGCAAGUCGAGCGAACAGACGAGGAGCUUGCUCCUCUGACGUUAGCGGCGGACGGGUGAGUAACACGUGGAUAACCUACCUAUAAGACUGGGAUAACUUCGGGAAACCGGAGCUAAUACCGGAUAAUAUAUUGAACCGCAUGGUUCAAUAGUGAAAGACGGUUUUGCUGUCACUUAUAGAUGGAUCCGCGCCGCAUUAGCUAGUUGGUAAGGUAACGGCUUACCAAGGCAACGAUGCGUAGCCGACCUGAGAGGGUGAUCGGCCACACUGGAACUGAGACACGGUCCAGACUCCUACGGGAGGCAGCAGUAGGGAAUCUUCCGAGAUGGGCGAAAGCCUGACGGAGCAACGCCGCGUGAGUGAUGAAGGUCUUCGGAUCGUAAAACUCUGUUAUUAGGGAAGAACAAAUGUGUAAGUAACUAUGCACGUCUUGACGGUACCUAAUCAGAAAGCCACGGCUAACUACGU